UACGGAGGGUGCAAGCGUUAUCCGGGUUCACUGGGUUUAAAGGGUGCGUAGGGGGGUUGAUAAGUCAGUGGUGAAAUCCCCGAGCUUAACUUGGGAACUGCCAUUGAUACUAUUGAUCUUGAAUACCGUGGAGGUCAGCGGAAUAUGUCAUGUAGCGGUGAAAUGCUUAGAUAUGACAUAGAACACCAAUUGCGAAGGCAGCUGGCUACGCGAAUAUUGACACUGAUGCACGAAAGCGUGGGGAUCAAACAGG
rnacentral:rRNA from 1 species